AUUGAACGCUGGCGGCAGGCUUAACACAUGCAAGUCGAGCGAGCGGCGGACGGGUGAGUAAUGUCUGGGAAACUGCCUGAUGGAGGGGGAUAACUACUGGAAACGGUAGCUAAUACCGCAUACCAUCAGAUGUGCCCAGAUGGGAGUAGCUAGUAGGUGGGGUAAUGGCUCACCUAGGCGACGAUCCCUAGCUGGUCUGAGAGGAGGACCAGCCACACUGGACCGUAGACACGGUCCAGACUCAUACAGGAGGUAGCAGUGGGGAAUAUUUCACAAUGGGCGCAAGCCGGAUGCAGCCAUGCCGCUUGUGUGAAGAAGGCCGGCGGGUUGUAAAGCACUUUCAGCGAGGAGGCGUUACUCGCAGAAGAAGCACCGGCUAACUCCGUGCCAGCAGCCGCGGUAAUAC
rnacentral:rRNA from 1 species